AGAGUUUGAUUAUGGCUCAGGAUGAACGCUGGCGGCGUGCCUAACACAUGCAAGUCGAGCGGGUAGGUUCUUUAAUGAACCUUUGGGGGAUUUAAAGGACCGAAAGCGGCGGACGGGUGAGUAACGCGUGAGGAACCUGCCCUGUGCAGGGGGAUAGCCUCGGGAAACUGGGAUUAAUACCCCAUAAAACUCUAACAUCGCAUGGUGUAUGAGUCAAAGCAAUAGCGGCACAGGAUGGCCUCGCGUCCCAUUAGCUAGUUGGUGAGGUAACGGCUCACCAAGGCGACGAUGGGUAGCCGGCCUGAGAGGGUGACCGGCCACACUGGGACUGAGACACGGCCCAGACUCCUACGGGAGGCAGCAGUGGGGAAUAUUGCACAAUGGGCGCAAGCCUGAUGCAGCGACGCCGCGUGAGCGAAGAAGGCCUUCGGGUCGUAAAGCUCUGUCCUAAGGGAAGAAUAAUGACGGUACCUUAGGAGGAAGCCCCGGCUAACUACGUGCCAGCAGCCGCGGUAAUACGUAGGGGGCGAGCGUUAUCCGGAAUCACUGGGCGUAAAGGGUGCGUAGGCGGCCCUGCAAGUCAGGAGUUAAAGCCCUCGGCUCAACCGAGGUAAGCUCUUGAAACUGUAGGGCUUGAGUGCAGGAGAGGAGAGCGGAAUUCCUAGUGUAGCGGUGAAAUGCGUAGAUAUUAGGAGGAACACCAGUGGCGAAGGCGGCUCUCUGGACUGUAACUGACGCUGAGGCACGAAAGCGUGGGGAGCAAACAGGAUUA
rnacentral:rRNA from 1 species